GGGGUCUCUCUAUCUGGCAAUCUUGCUAUUGCACACUCAAAAGUGUGGUUUUAGACCUCUUACUCCCGUAAGCUUAUGCUCUGUCUCUAGGCGCCUUCUUUCUCUUAUAAUCUUUUGUGACAAACUGCACAAUGGUAACAACACUAUUUUUGUUUAAUAUAUUUGGCUAAUCGUUUUGGAAGAUUUUGCUACUAUGCAAGCACUCAAAAUAUGUUGUCUGCUGAAUUCGCCAAUCUAGGACCCAAUCACAAGGAAAUGACAAUGUGUUUUGUGAUUGAUGGCCGAGAACCAGUUUGAUCAUUGGAAACUGGAAAUGGGGUCUCAACUUGCUGAUGACUUUAGGGGGCCUGGAUGUGAUGGAAGCAUCAGAAUGACUCUGUUUUUAAGGGUGCUGCACUGAGUCCAGCUUGUCCUUAGAUGAAUUUGGGAGGAAGAAUACCGCUAGUGCAUGGCUGGAGCUAGGUGCUUGGAGCAGCUUAUGGCUGCUGCCAUGUAUACUCUGCUCAUGUGUUCCUGAACUAGUAGUGUGUUGGGCUUUUUGUAAAUAUGAUUUCUCUUAAUGCAAAGAUAUGCGGCUCUCAUGUGUAUUUGACAAAAUUAAAAAAAGGACCCAUACCAAUUGUUUCUUGUUCAAACUUCAAAGGAUGUGCAUUCAGACUAUCUCACACUCAGAAGCCCUAAGAAUAUUAAAUGACACAUUUUUUUCUCAAUUGAGACACUUCGACACCAGAUUUUGAAGUUCUUGUUUUUUUAUCCUAAAAUCUCCAGCUAAGGUCUUGGAUCAGAGAACUAAUUAGCUGGUUUAGAUUUAAGACAAGAGAUCAUCCAUCUUGAGCAGGUAGGCUCCUAUUACUCCCCACAUUAUGGUCUCCAAAAUUAGAAUUUGACCCAUGAUUUCUCUUAUGCUUGUAGCAACAAAAUUAUAACAAUAAGAUCAUACUUUCAUUUACAAAUCGAAUGAUGUCACUUUUGUAUAACAAAAAUCACGUCAUGUAAGACUAAUUGACUGUUGGAAAUUAUGAGGUUUGAAUCUUUAAAUACAUUUGUGCCAUAUAAAAGAAAUGGAGGGAGUACUAGGGUACAUCGUUAUCAGCUUUGCUUAUAUAUGUUUUUGUUGACUAUCCAGUUAAUUUAUCUCAUGUCAAAAUGUAAAUGGUGAAUAACCUUCUAUUUGCAUGACAUUCAGGAUGUGAAUUGUCUUGUGAUGUUGAUUAGCAUGACAUCAUACCUGUUGUCCUUUGUGGGCCAGACCUACAGGCGCAAAGAGACAACAGGAAUCCUCUACAUAAUCUAGGGAGAGGUUAGGAAAGAUCAGAUCUGUUUUGAUGAGUUGAGAUAUUUGUGGAAGGCCUGGAUUAUAAAGGCUCAUAGUUUGUAUUAGGAGAACCAUCGAAGAAGAAUAAGACUCUCUCAUCAGGAAUCCUCUUCGGUCCAGCCACUGUGGAGGACAACCGGUCAUUGCCACGCUACCCUCUCGUGUCUCUUCCUUAAUCCCAUCUACUGCUGUGAUCUCCCUUGCGCAGUUGCGCACACCUCGCCGACCUCGCCAUAUCAUCCCGUUAAUUUGUAUGGGCGGUGUGUUCGAUUAUUCAUGACUUGUCUCCAAGAAAUGCAAAAAGAAAGAUAAAAGUUCCAGUGGCUUUUUACUUACUGAAAACCUUGCAUCCUGGCUUCCCUGAGUGAUGUACCAUGUAAGUAUAACUGUAUAAGCGUUCUUCAAUGCUUUGGUGUCUCCUCUGAGGCUUAUCUGUAAGUUUCCUGGCCACUGGUCUCGCUGACAGAGAUGAUGCUUAUCUGUUCUACUUAAACUACAGUUACAUUCACUUAGUUUUGUUAUUUUGUUUGUUUACCCUCCAUAACUUUUUGUCAUGUUCUUUCCUGCAGAUCAAUGUACAUUCCACAAACAUGUGCUAACAUGUUAUUGUGUCUAUGGGAGCUCCAGGUGUAAUGUCAAAUUUAUGACUAUUGAAAAACCUGGUAACUAAACUGAUCAACAGUUGCAGAACUAAGAUGUAUGCCGUCUUUGUCUGAUAAUAGUCUAUACAUUGUAGAAACAGUAGACAACACACUCGUGGAAACACACCAUCAAUAACUAAACUGAUCUACAGGUGCUAUCACUAUUGCAACAGUUAUGGAUCACACACUUGUGGAAACACAUCAUCAAUAACUUCUUAAAUUGUAGGGCUAAAAUGGGCACAAUAGUCAAUCCUGGAUUUCAGUUUGGUUAUUCUAACAUUUUUCCGCUACGGUCAUAUCGUCCUAAUUAAAUGAGUACAUAUCAAACUUGAAGCAGUACAUUUUUACCUUCUCAAUUUUUCUUAAACAUUGUAGAUGAGACAUUUUAAAAUUAACCAUGUUGCUUCCAUCAAGUCUUUGGCUUUUUGGGUGCAGACACCUAAUCCAACUGUAACCAAUGGAUUGGACCAAGUAGAUGUUUCUUCAGUUUUGAUAUACAUUAAUCCAAACAUAAGCAGAUAGCAUUUAACAACUUUGAUUGCGACAGUAGGACAAAGUAAAGUUGGGAGUAGGUGUUUGAAGUCGAAAUGAUCGGAAUAAUAUUUUGUAAAGAAAUGCCAGGACAAAUGGUGAUCUGCAACUGAUAUAUUUUCAAGUAAACAAGAAUUAUAUUGCUUGGUUUACUACUAAACCUUUACCAUCAUCAUCAGCUGAGUGUAAAUAAACUCUUAAACUCUCUUCUGAUAACCGGCCAUUUUUAUUUUUCUAAAUACUGAUUGUCGUGGUCUCUACAUCCAGUGACUAAGCUGACAUGGCUCUUGUUCAAUAAUUAAAAUAGAGAUCAAGCGAUGCCAUGAUUGUGAUUGUUACUCUUUUUAGACGAUUCUGCUUGCUUUCAUGAAAGGUCAAAGGAAAAUUAUCUUUGGCCAUGUUGGAGCAGUAACUGUGAUGACAGAGAGAUAUUUUCUGUACUUAUGGAGGCGAACAAUAUAUCUUUUCCAGUCUAUCAAUUUGUAAGUGAAGUGUUAGAUUCAGCAGCUUCGAGUCUUAGCUCAUGCAUUUGAUGUUUACUUGGUACCAUUGAGCCUGGUUUGUCUCCCUCUGUGUUACUGCUGUUGGUAAUUUGUGAUAUGGAAACUGGAAUCAGUCCGAUUUGGGUGUUUUUAGCUUUUGUUCCUUUUGCUAUGUUCUUUUGUGUGAAAGAUACAAGAUUCAUAUCUCUUGGCAUGGGGGUUGUUGGACUGCGGGCUGCCUCCUUGUGCACAAAUUGGCAGGAGCCAAUAUUUGUGGGGUCCUCUAAUCAUAAUCCCUUUGCAGCAAGUCUGUCACAUGCGUGGCAGGCCUGGAGCAUCUCAUGAUAUCAUCGUCAGGGAUUCAGAAUUCAGAAAGACUGGACCAGAAAAAGAGCUCUGAAAACAAGUUGACCCAAGGAUGCACUGGAAGUCUGGAACCUUUUUUCACCUCCAGUGACAACAGUUCUUGCAAAAGAAGGAACCGGUUUGAAGAGUCAGACUAAGGCUUCAAUACUUCUCUGUAACUGCUCCGUGUUUCACUGAACGUCUGAACCGGGUUGUAAACUUUUGGAGAACUCUUUUCGGCACCCAAAAAAAACACCGCGAACACAAUGGCAGCAAGUUGAAGAGGCUGUUCGUGACCACACACCGGACUGACUGAGGGACUGUCGCAAGUCUCCAGCUGACAUGGGCAGCAAGCAACCAUUCAACCGACUGAGAAAGGUUCAAUUCCUCUACACCAGCGCGAAGAAUAGUUAUAUAGUCGCAGAGGAGUUGGCAUCUCGAGAUCGCCAAUGUCAAGAUGUCAUGCGCCCAUUAAAUUCCUUCAGAAUUCCUCUUUCUCGCCCAUCAGUUAUUCUGAUCACCUCCAUAUGUAUGCCUUGCCAGGGAAAUACAUUAGAGAGCAUGGCUCCAUUCGCUUUUAUACCAAGUUCAUGUAGGAGUAUAUAUAUGAUAGUAAUUAGUAAAAGUUACUCUCCUUUAUUCCCCUUGAUGAACGGUGGGUUCAGACUUCAGACGUUGAAGGAGAAGGGAGGGUACUCUGGACCAUGAGAAUCCCCCCUGAAUUUUGAGGGAAUUGAACUGAUCCUUGCUGAA